AAAACAAUUCUGCGUUCGGGGGGAAUCGAACCCCCGUCGAAUGCUUGGAAGGCAUCCAUGCUGACCAUUACACCACGAACGCACGAAAGACUCUGCCUGAAUACGCGGACAUCUCGAAAAAACGCAGAAAAAGUUGCGUCAAACAUGC
ensembl:ncRNA T10B10.13 ncRNA